rnacentral:rRNA from 1 species
CCCUUAGAUGUCCGGGGCCACACGCGCGCUACACUGAAGGAAUCAGCGUGGCUUCCUCCCUGACCCGAAAGGGUUGGGAAACCCGUUGAAUCUCCUUCGUGAUAGGGAUUGGGGCUUGAAAUUGUUCCCCAUGAACGAGGAAUUCCCAGUAAGCGCGAGUCAUAAGCUCGCGUUGAUUACGUCCCUGCCCUUUGUACACACCGCCCGUCGCUACUACCGAUUGAACGGUUUAGUGAGGGCCUCGGAUUGGUCUCGGCCCGCUCUUUACCGGGCGGCGCCGUUGGUCGAGAAGACGCUCGAACUUGAUCGUUUAGAGGAAGUAAAAGUCGUAACA